UGAACGCUGGCGGCGUGCUUAACACAUGCAAGUCGAACGAAGCACCCUCAUCCGUGGAAGGGAGUAGCUUGCUACGAACGGACACACCCGAGGGUGACUGAGUGGCGGACGGGUGAGUAACGCGUGGGGCAAACCUGCCCCAUAGAGGGGGACAACAGUUAGAAAUGACUGCUAAUACCGCAUAGUAAAGCAGAUCCGCAUGCUUCUGCUUUGAAAGCUUUGCGCUAUGGGAUGGGCCCGCGUUUGAUUAGCUAGUUGGUGAGGUAACGGCCCACCAAGGCGACGAUCAAUAGCCGGCUUGAGAGAGUGAACGGCCACAUUGGGACUGAGACACGGCCCAAACUCCUACGGGAGGCAGCAGUGGGGAAUAUUGCACAAUGGGGGAAACCCUGAUGCAGCGACGCCGCGUGAGUGAAGAAGUAUUUCGGUAUGUAAAGCUCUAUCAGCAGGAAAGAUAAUGACGGUACCUGACUAAGAAGCCCCGGCUAACUACGUGCC
rnacentral:rRNA from 1 species